rnacentral:rRNA from 1 species
UACGGGGGGGGCAAGCGUUGUUCGGAAUUACUGGGCGUAAAGGGCUCGUAGGUGGCCAACUAAGUCGGACGUGAAAUCCCUCAGCUUAACUGGGGAACUGCGUCCGAUACUGGAUGGCUUGAGUUCGGGAGAGGGAUGCGGAAUUCCAGGUGUAGCGGUGAAAUGCGUAGAUAUCUGGAGGAACACCGGUGGCGAAGGCGGCAUCCUGGACCGAUACUGACGCUGAGGAGCGAAAGCCAGGGGAGCGAACGGG